rnacentral:rRNA from 1 species
UACAGAGGGUGCGAGCGUUGUCCGGAAUCACUGGGCGUAAAGGGCGCGUAGGUGGUGGCUUAAGCGUGCGGUGAAAGCUCGGGGCUCAACCCCGAGUCGGCCGUGCGAACUGGGCUCACUGGAGCAUAGUAGAGGCAGGCGGAAUUCCGGGUGUAGCGGUGGAAUGCGUAGAGAUCCGGAAGAACACCGGUGGCGAAGGCGGCCUGCUGGGCUAUGGCUGACACUGAGGCGCGACAGCGUGGGGAGCAAACAGG